GUCCCUUCAGGGACAUCCAAUAAAAUUGGAAUGACACAGAGAAGAUUAGCAUAGCCUGCGCAAGGAUGACACGCACAAAUCAAGAAAUGGUCCAAAAAUUU